rnacentral:rRNA from 1 species
AAAUUGAAGAGUUUGAUCAUGGCUCAGAUUGAACGCUGGCGGCAGGCCUAACACAUGCAAGUCGAACGGUAACAGGAAGCAGCUUGCUGCUUUGCUGACGAGUGGCGGACGGGUGAGUAAUGUCUGGGAAACUGCCUGAUGGAGGGGGAUAACUACUGGAAACGGUGGCUAAUACCGCAUAACGUCGCAAGACCAAAGAGGGGGACCUUCGGGCCUCUUGCCAUCAGAUGUGCCCAGAUGGGAUUAGCUAGUUGGUGAGGUAACGGCUCACCAAGGCGACGAUCCCUAGCUGGUCUGAGAGGAUGACCAGCCACACUGGAACUGAGACACGGUCCAGACUCCUACGGGAGGCAGCAGUGGGGAAUAUUGCACAAUGGGCGCAAGCCUGAUGCAGCCAUGCCGCGUGUAUGAAGAAGGCCUUAGGGUUGUAAAGUACUUUCAGCGGGGAGGAAGGUGUUGUGGUUA